rnacentral:rRNA from 1 species
GAUGAACGCUGGCGGCGUGCCUAAUACAUGCAAGUCGAGCGAACGGACGAGAAGCUUGCUUCUCUGAUGUUAGCGGCGGACGGGUGAGUAACACGUGGAUAACCUACCUAUAAGACUGGGAUAACUUCGGGAAACCGGAGCUAAUACCGGAUGAUAUUUUGAACCGCAUGGUUCAAAAGUGAAGGACGGUCUUGCUGUCACUUAUAGAUGGAUCCGCGCUGCAUUAGCUAGUUGGUAAGGUAACGGCUUACCAAGGCAACGAUGCACAGCCGACCUGAGAGGGUGAUCGGCCACACUGGAACUGAGACACGGUCCAGACUCCUACGGGAGGCAGCAGUAGGGAAUCUUCCGCAAAGGGCGAAAGCCUGACGGAGCAACGCCGCGUGAGUGAUGAAGGUCUUCGGAUCGUAAAACUCUGUUAUUAGGGAAGAACAUAUGUGUAAGUAACUGUGCACAUCUUGACGGUACCUAAUCAGAAAGCCACGGCUAACUACGUG